GACGAACGCUGGCGGCGUGCUUAACACAUGCAAGUCGAACGGAAAGGCCCUGCUUUUGUUGGUUGCUCGAUUGGCGAACGGGUGAGUAACACGUGAGUAACCUGCCCUUGACUUUGGGAUAACUUCAGGAAACUGGGGCGAAUACCGGAUAGGAGCUCCUGCUGCAUGUUGUGGGUUGGAAAGUUUCGGCGGUUGGGGCUGUACUCGCGGGUUAUCAGCUUGUUUGUGGGGUAGGUGCUUACCAAGGCUUUGACGGGUAGCCGGCCUGAGAGGGUGACCGGGGACCUUGGGCCUGAGAUACGGAGCAGAAUCCUACGGGCGGCAGCAGUGGGGAAUAUUGCACAAUGGGCGGAAGCCUGAUGCAGCAACGCCGCGUGCGGGAUGACGGCCUUCGGGUUGUAAACAGCUUUCGAAUGUGACGAAGCGUGAGUGACGGUAAUGGGUAAAGAAGCACCGGCUAACUACGUG
rnacentral:rRNA from 1 species